UCGAGUUCUUAAACCCGCAGCGGAGAAGUCAACCUCCGGUCUCACCUCAGCUGUAGACACCAACACGACCUCCUCCUCCGUUCCCCCUGCUGAAAGGCUUGGGCCUCGAGCUUUGCGAUCUGCGCUUCUUGUCAGCAGGGACUUCUCCGUGCGCCCCCCGCCCGUGCACUUCCGGGUUGGUGCUAACCUGCGCAUGCUCCAAAGCUGGCGUCCCUUCUUUGGCGCUUUCCUACUCAUUUCCGGGUAAGACGGCUGCUGGCCCGGCAGCUCGUCCCUGGUCCCGAGUCACACCUGUUUGGGUUCUGCGUCUGUGCAGGAAGGCAUCUUCAGGCCCCGCUCGAGGGCUGCCUCCCCACUUUCUCACAAUACAGGUCCUGGAGGGCCCGUGCGCACCGAGAGAUUGGUUUCCUGUGAAAAAGCUUUCUAGUGGUUAUCGAGGAUGCAGCCCUGAAUAAAAUAGAACUGCCCUGUGGCACUCGGGAGACACACAUUAGCUCUGCCUCUUUUCUGGGUGGACACAUGUAUGGUGAUUUGGAUUCCAGUCCCAAUUCUGCUGGGUGACCCUGGACAAAUAAGUGGCUUCAGUUUCCUCAUCUGUAAAAUUGGGGUUGCCUUGGAGAUUUGAUGACCUCAUGCAUGAAGAGCAUGGGUCUGGCCCACGCAGGAAGACAGAACUACGAGGAGAAGUAGACAAGUUCACCAUCACGGAGGAGCAGUCUUUGGGCUUGAACAGAAGACUCUCAGCUUCACCCCUGCAAAUGAGAAUUUGGUCAGGCCUGAGGGAUGGGCAUGUUGAGCCCGAGGCACUUGCAUAACUGGAGUGAAAGGACAAGAGCUGGGGGUGCCCAGAAGAGCUUGCCAGCUGCCGACACAAGCGACAAGGAGAGGUAUGGAGCCUCCUACAGACGGUUGGCGACAGAGUUGAUUCAUCUGGGGAAGGUAAUUUGUCAAUAUUUAAAAUAUCAAAUGCAUGUACCAUAUAAUAACAGCGGCAUCUCUUACAAAAUGUAUAAAUGUACUGACAUUUAUGGAAAAGGAUGUUCCUUGUAGCAUUAUUUAUAACAGUGGAAAAUUAGAGAUACUUUUUCUUAUUCGUUCAUUUAUUUAUCAAGUACCAAAUGCCUAUUCUGUGCUAGAUACUGUUUUAGGCACCUGGGUAUACAGAACAAAUGAAACAGACAUGGUGACUGCUGGCAAGGGCUUCCCAGCGUACAGGGAGGAACCACAUACUAAAAAAAUGAACAGCCAAAUAUGCAAAUCAAACUGUCCUAGCGCAGUGUGGGAUAAUGUCAAGUGGUGAGGGUUACUUGAGAUGGGGUGAUCAGGGAAGGCCUCUCUAAAGUGACGUUGGCAAGAAAACCUGAAAGAAGAGGCGACCCGGCCAGGUCAAGCAGAGGAGAAACUGUGUGCAGAGACUGAGAGCUUGGCUGCUCGAGGCCAGGCCAGCAGAGUGAUGUCGAUGAAAGUAGGAUGAGCCCCCAAGGGCUUAGAGACCGGGAGAGGCAGGGACAGAUGGCACAGGGCCUGGAAGCCAGGAAGAGAGGAUGGGAAUGGACAGUGGACAAUGACACGAUCCAAUUAUGUUCUUCAAAGGCCCCCCUGGCUGUGAUAUGAACCAACGAGGAUGAGGACAAGUAGAAAAGCCAGGUUGGAAGCUUUUGGAGUCCAGGUGAGAGAUCCUAGUUGCUAUGCAUUGGAGAGAAGCAGGUUUGUGCCAGACACAUUCUGGAGAUAGACGCAGUAGGACUCGAUGAUGAAUUGCGUGUGGGCAGUAAGGGAGUGGGCGUCAAGAACGGCUGUUGUGUGUUGGUGGGAUAGUGGUGCGCAUAGUUGCCUUCUAAGAAUGGCUUUCUGAGCACUGUACACCUGUCCAAACGGCCUCCAGGGCCACCAGGUGCCACAAGGAGGCGGAGCGCUGAGUCUCUUCUAUGGCUGGAAGGAAUGCAGAGUGGUACAACCGACAGCAAACAAGUGGAAGGUAUCUUUAAAAGUGAAACACUCAACUACCAGAUGACUCAGCCAUCCCUCUCCUGGAUAUUUGACCCAGAGAAGUGAAAACUCGAGUCCACACAGAAAACCAGUGCGUGAAUGUUUCGAGCAGCUCUAUCCAUGACUGUCCUGAACUGAAAGAACCCAAGUGUCCUUCAGUGGGUGCACGGAUAAGCAAAUGGUGAUGUAGCCAGACAGUGGAACGAACCACUUAGCACUGAAAGGAAACAAACCGUGAUGCUCACAGUAAGUGGGGCGAAUUUCAGAGACCUUUUGCUGAGUGGAAGAAGAGUGUCAAAAGGUUAAAGACUGGAUGCUUCCAUUUAGGUGUCGUUUUUGAAGAGAUAAAUACGAUAGACCUGUGGUUGUCGGUGGUUAGGAGCCAGGGGAAGAAGUGACUAUAACUGUUGUUUAUCUUGAUCGUGGUGGUGGUUACAGGAAUCCAUGAGUGUUAAAAUUCACGGAACUGUUUAGUCCUCCCUGAAAAAGUUCCUUUUUAUUGUAUGAUCAUUUUAAAAAUAUAAAAAAAAAAAAUGAAACCUUUAAAAAAAAAAAGAUUCCUGGGUUUCUGGCAGGGGCAGGUAGGUGGAUGGUGUUGCUGGGGUGGGGGUUCAGAUGUGGGGAAGGGAAUGAAGAGCUCAGUUCGGACGUGUGAAGUUGAGAUGUUCAGAGUUGGGCGCACAAGAGUCUGGGGCUGGAGAUGGAAAUUUGGGAGUCCUCAAUGGUGAAAGCCGUCGUCAUGGAUUAGAACACCUGGGGAGAGAGGGUGGAGAGCAAAAGCAAAAGGGGACGGCCUUCCAGAACAAUGCCUACCGGAGCAUGGGAGCGGGAGGAGGAGCCAGGGUUGAGAUAGAGGCCCCCAGGGAUUGUGGGAGCUCCUCCGUGGGCGCCUCUGCUCUGCCCUGCCUGUGUCUGCCAGAGACCUCCCUUGAGAGGGCGGGGUGGCGGGUAGCUUUAGAGCAGGGCUGCUGGCCGGGGCAGGGACUUGGAAAUGCUAAGAACGAUUUUAGAAAGUCAGCAGAUCUCUGCAGCUGUUUGCCAUCGGAUCCGGGCAAAGUUAUCUCUGAGCUGCACUUGUGGCAAAAUGACACUUCCUCCCGCUUCUUCCGUCACCCAUUCCCAGUAUCUGAACCCUCCUCGGUGUCCACCGCUGCAGGGGCCACACUGGAAGCCUGAGAACCAGAUCACAGCCCUCAGGCCUGCCUCUUUUUCACCGCACACAACACUGUAACGUUUCAUCGGCUUUAAAAAAAAAAAGGGGGGGGGGGUAAGAUUUCAAAAAACAGCGGUAACAGCUGGGUUUUCAGCUGGGAGAAGCGGAAGGUAUGGCAGCCCUGAGCCCACAGCCCUUCUUGGUGACAAGACAGGAGUUGAGUUCUGACGAGCUGUGCAUCCCCCAGUUGGCCAUAGACCGUGUGGGUCUCCGGCACCCAGAUAAGAGCUGGUUGCCACCGAUCACAUGCUUGCGCCAUGGUUUCUGCCCUUUCCUGUAACCUGGGUGCCCGUAUUACAGCAGUCACGUCUGAGCAGAAGGGCACAGCAAAAGCAGAGACCUGCGUGGCUUUUUGAAAUGUGGGAAGGUUUAUCGCCGACGUUAUGUACACAUAUAAUAUGAGGUGACACAGAGAGCCGAGGUGACGUGACUUUUUUUAAUCAACUAUUUUUAGAGAGGCUAAAUUUACACGCAGUAAAAAUGCAGCCAUUUUAAGCACACAGUUCGAGAGGUUUUGACAAACGUAGAAAUCUCUGUAACCCCCUACCCCAGUCAAAUUCUAGAACACUUCCAUCACUCUCAAAUGUCCCUCUGGCAUCUUCCCCAUUCAUCCUUCCCCCUUCUCCUCCGUGGCUCCUGGCAACCACUGAUCUGCUUUCUCUCAGUACAGGGGUUCUGGGACCAAUUCUGAACAGGGGUGGCGGGGGAUGGCUUCCCCCACACCACCAAGCAAUUCUCUAGAUACCAGCUGGGUGUCUUGCGAUGCAACUUAACUCUCCCUAGAGAUAGUGUCACAUUCCACAGCUCAAGGGGCUCGGUCCUACAAGACUACCCUACCCCCACGCACUCCGCCGCCAUGUCAGACACCAGUUGCUGGUCCAAGCUGUCACCUGUGCUUCUGACACACUGGCUACAGUUCGAGGUAACCAUGACCCCCUUUUCGGGUUCAGUGAAUUUGCUAGAGCGGUUCACAGAACUCACAGAUACAUUUUACAUACGAGAUCGCCCAUCAGUUCUAAAAGGCCAUGACCCAGGGACAGCCAGAUGGAAGAGACACAUAGAGCAAAGCAUGAGAUGGGGGAGGCGUGUGAAGCUUCCAUACCCUCUCCUAGUGCUCCGCUCUCCCCAAAUCUCCACGUGUUCACCAAGUGGAAGCAUUCUGAGCCCCGCUCGUUUGAGUUCAUAUGGAGGCUUCAUUACACGGGCGCGAUUGAUUCAUUGAUUACAUAGGCCAUUGGGACGGAUUCAACCUCCAGCGCCUCCCCCUGUCUCCAGAAGUCAGAAGGUCAGGACUGAAAAUACCAACCCUCUAAUCCCUCAGUUGGUUCCUCUGGCACCUAGCCCCCACUUUUAGGUGGGGGUCCAAGAGUCACCGCCGCAUAACAAAAGACAGCUUCGUUGCUCUCAUCACUUAGGAAAUCCCAAAGCUUUUAGGAGCUCUGUGGCAGGAAUGGGCCACCGCUGGACAACUAUAAUCCUUGGCUGAAGACCAAAUACAUUUUUUAUGAUAAAUCACAGUGUCAGAGUCAGAGGCUGUAUGGUCACCUUUGCCAGCAGUGUGUUACUUUUAUUGCCUAGGGGUAUGCCGUUGCAUGGCUACAUCACAGUUUUUACAUCCAUUCUCUUUUUAAAACAGAUUUUUUUUUAAUGUUUAUUUUUGAGAGAGAGAGAGAGACAGAGCGCGAGCAGGGGAGGGGCAGAGAGAGACGGAGGCACAGAAUCGGAAGCAGGCUCCAGGCUCUGAGCUGUCGGCACAGACCCCGACGCGGGGCUUGAACCCGUGAACCACAAGAUCAUGACCUGAGCCGAAGUCAGACGCUUAACCGACUGAGCCACCCAGGUGGCCCCACAUCCUUUCGCUUUCGAUGGUCACCUGCACCAUUUCCCGAAUGGGGCUAUUAUGAUCAAAGCUGCCGUGAAUAUCUCUGUACAGUCUGCGUUCACGGGGUUGCUCUCAUCCUCCUGAGUGACACCCAGGAAGACAUCGCCGGGUUGUGAGGUCAGAAGUGAUGCCUCCAAAGCCCUCGUGCGUCUCUCUGGUCCCGGAGCCUGGCCGGAUGCCUCACCAGGCUGGCUGGGGUCCGGUUGGCGUGCAACAACAGCAGCGAGCGCUGCCACUACCCCCACCCGGGGCCCAAACUUGCUGGCCUGUUUGUUCAGCUCGCUCUGCAGUGAACUUUCCUGUUUACAUCUUUUCCAGCUGACCUUUUGAUUCACAGCAUAUAAUUUGAUUGUUUUCCGAAGGAUAAACAAACAAUGAGUUAUUUUGAAGGCGGUUUCUAGGGUGUUGGGAAGAGGAGGUUUGUGCUCUAAGCACCAAGAACCACUAGGAAACAAUUACCAGAAAGGGGAGGGGGGUGCAGGGACACGGUAAGCAGCAAGCCCCUAAUUGUGGGCAUAAAUUGUUAAGUGGUGAAUUAGACAUCCAGGAAAUCAUCUCCUCAUCUUCACGUAGCCAUUACCUGUGGUACGGUGACUCCACAGGCAGGAAGACUGGGUAGCUCUCCUGUUUCUAAGAACACCGACUGGGGCCAAGUGUCCUUCCAUAGGACAUCGCUCACGAUCCCCAUCCCCAUUCAUUCAACACUCUCUUGUUUCCAUGGCAAUCUAUGUCCCAUAAUAAGCACAGGAAUUUUUUUCUUAGUUAUUUUAUUUAUUUAUUUUUGUAUAAUUUAUUGUCAAGUUAGCGAAUAUAGAGUGUACAACAGUGUGCUCUUG